rnacentral:rRNA from 1 species
GACGAACGCUGGCGGCGUGCCUGACACAUGCAAGUCGGACGGUUCUUGUAUCUUCAAGCUUGCUUGCAGGUGCAAGGAUAGUGGCGGACGGGUGAGUAACGCGUGAACAUCUACCCAUUGGAGGGGGACAACCCGUCGAAAGGCGGGCUAAUACCGCGUAAGCCGCGAGGUGAGAGGCUGCCUAUUGGUGGCCGCCGAUGGAUGGGUUCGCGUCCUAUCAGCUGGUUGGUGGGGUAACGGCCUACCAAGGCGAAGACGGGUAGCCGGUCUGAGAGGAUGGCCGGCCACACUGGAACUGAGACACGGUCCAGACUCCUACGGGAGGCAGCAGUGGGGAAUAUUGGGCAAUGGGGGGAGACCCUGACCCAGCGACGCCGCGUGAGGGAUGAAGGUUUUCGGAUCGUAAACCUCUGUUGUACGGGAAGAAGGAUGUGACGGUACCGUACGAGAAAGCCCCGGACAAACUACGUG